GACGAACGCUGGCGGCGUGCCUAACACAUGCAAGUCGAACGCACAGUUUAUACCGUUGCUUGCUACACCAUAGACGGUGAGUUGCGAACGGGUUAGUUACGCGUAGGUAACCUGUCUGGUAGCGUGGGAUAACUAUUGGAAACGAUAGCUAAUACCUCAUAAUAUUAAUUAUUGCAUGAUAAUUUAUUGAAAGGUGGGAUUGCACCGCUACCAGACGGACUUGCGUUGGAUUAGCUAGUAGGCGAGGUAAAGGCGCACCUAGGCGAGGAUACAUAGCCGAACUGCUAGGGUGGUCAGCCGCACUGGGACUGUGACACGGCCCAGACGCCUAGGGGAGGCAGCAAUAGGGAAUCUGCGGGCAGGGGCGGAAAUCUGACCAGGAAAGGCCGAGGGAGUGAAGAAGGAUGUCGGGUCGUAAAGCUCGGUUGUCAGGGAAGAAAGGGUGUGAGAGUGGAAAGUUCACAGUGUGACGGUAACUUAUCAGAAAGGGACGGCUAACUACGUG
rnacentral:rRNA from 1 species